GGAAUAUUGGUCAAUGGGCGUGAGCCUGAACCAGCCAAGUAGCGUGCAGGAAGACGGCCCUACGGGUUGUAAACUGCUUUUAUGCGGGGAUAAAGUGUGGGACGCGUCCCACAUUGCAGGUACCGCAUGAAUAAGGACCGGCUAAUUCCGUGCCAGCAGCCGCGGUAAUACGGAAGGUCCGGGCGUUAUCCGGAUUUAUUGGGUUUAAAGGGAGCGCAGGCUGGCUUUUAAGCGUGACGUGAAAUGCGGCGGCUCAACCGUCCGAAGUGCGUCGCGAACUGGGAGCCUUGAGUGAGUUCGACGUCAGCGGAAUUCGUGGUGUAGCGGUGAAAUGCUUAGAUAUCACGAGGAACCCCGAUUGCGAAGGCAGCUGACGAGGCCUUUACUGACGCUAAAGCUCGAAGGUGCGGGUAUCGAACA
rnacentral:rRNA from 1 species